UUACUUUAACAGCACAUAAUACUAAAACUGAAAUGAUACUGAGAAGAUUCGCAUGGCCUCUGUGCAAGGGCCAUUUGGACAAAUUUGGACAAAUUUCUUUUUUUU